AUUCCUUUGAUUUUGGGGAUAACAUAAAGCGAGCGGCACCUAUAAUACAUGCUAGGGAACGAAUAGUUUAUUGAAAGUUUUAGUAUAUGUCCCGGACAGGUGAGUAAUAUUUUAGAAUUAACCAAUUGGGCACUACAAAAUAGUGAAUUAAAAUAUAUGUUAUAGUCAAUUGAUAAUCUGGAGUCGUAUUAGGUAGAGGGCAUUGUCCUGCCAAAGAUGCGUAGUCAAGAGGCCACACUUUCACUGAAACAAGGGGAAGACUCGUAAAGAGGCUGCAGUAGAGAAUCUUGUGCAAUGUAUGAGAGUAUGACACAGGGAUGUCGCAGAAGAUAGACCGUCAAAUGUACGUGCCAGCCGACGCGGUUAUACGUAAGGUCUGAGUUUUUGUUGAGAAAGGCGUAAAGAGUGCGUAGGUGGACGACAUCUUAUGUCGUGUGAGUAAAAGAGGGGGUAAAUAUAACUUUUAUGUAGCGGUAGAAUGCUUGAAUAUAAAGAGGUAUAUCAAAAGCGAAAGCAAUUUACUACUUAAUACUGACACUCAAGCACGAAAGUAGGGGGAGCAAACAGGAUUAGAUACCCUGGUAGUCCUUACCGUAAACCAUGAGGGUUAGAUUCAAAGUAAGUCUACGAAAACUCAAAAGAUUCCGCCUGAAGAGUACGAUCGCAAGAUUAAAAUUUAAAAAAUUUGGCGGUUCACUAAACCAAUUAGAGGAGCGUGUAGUUUAAUUCGAUGAUCCGCGAUUAACCUUACCAAGACUUGAAUAUUAAAUACGUAAAUAAAUGAGUAUUAAAUACAGGUAUUGCAUGGCCGUCGUCAGUUUGUGUUGUGAAAGAAAUAGAAGGAGCUCAACCCUUAAUGAUAAUUUUGUUUUUGAAUUACGUAAUUAAGGAUGACGUCAGGUCCUUAUGAUCCAAAUGUUUAGGGCGAUAUAUGCGCUACAAUCUUUUAUACAAAGAGGGUAAUUGAGAAAACUCUAAAAUAAAAGUUCGGAUUGUUCCUUGAAAUAGGAACGUGAAGUUGGAUUUAAUAGUAAUCGAAAAGCAGAGCGUUUCGGUGAAUUCGGCUCUAGUGUUCGUACAAAUCGCCCGUCACCUCCGCCAAGUAAACAAUUUUUAAGUGCUCAACUAAAGCUAAAGAAAUAAAUAGAAAAUAUUAAUCAUAUUGUUAUUCAGACUCGUUAGCAGUAGUGGGGUAUUAGGGAGAAUUUAUAAGGUGGAGAAAGUCGUAACAUAGUGAGGGUAUUGGAAAAUGUCCUCGGAUUAAU
rnacentral:rRNA from 1 species